rfam:Ricinus communis cultivar Hale ctg_1100012354654, whole genome shotgun sequence.
GCCUUCGUGGUGAAAUGGUAGACACGCGAGACUCAAAAUUUUAUGCUAAAGAGCAUGGAGGUUAGAGUCCUCUUCAAGGCA